GUACUGCUGAAGAGUCCAAAACUAGGAUGAGACAGCUUUCCAGUAC
rnacentral:hammerhead_ribozyme from 1 species